CACGUAGGGCGCAAGCGUUGUCCGGAAUUAUUGGGCGUAAAGAGCUCGUAGGCGGUCUGUUGCGUCCGCUGUGAAAACUCGGGGCUUAACCCCGAGCCUGCAGUGGAUACGGGCAGACUAGAGGUAGGUAGGGGAGAAUGGAAUUCCCGGUGUAGCGGUGAAAUGCGCAGAUAUCGGGAGGAACACCAGUAGCGAAGGCGGCUCGCUGGGCCAUUCCUGGCGCUGAGACGCGAAAGCUAGGGGAGCGAACAGG
rnacentral:rRNA from 1 species